UCCUGAGAUAGAUGACUCCAUGGUCAAGCAGUCUCUAUUUCUACUCUAUGCACAGAACCAGGGUCUGCACACAAGAGUUAUGGAAGGUUCUCCAUACAAAAGUCUAAAAGAGUGGGGUGAUGGUGACCCUGUCUCUAGACGACGUGUCGGUGGAAAACCUUAAAAAAAGGACCUAAAGGCAAACCUAGGUUUCUGGGAGGUCGAGUUUCGGCUAAAGGGCUAACGUAAAACCCAACAGCCCGAAACGCAACCUACCCAAACCCCACCACCGCAGCCUGCAAACCCUGCCCCAUCUACCACCUUAACCCGAACACCCGCCCGAAAGGUGCCUUCAGGUCGAAAACGGGCGGCUCCCUUCCAAUCCUACUCCAGGAUCUUCGGGGUUGCAGCGGUUUCUCGCUAACAGGGGAGGCUACAGGGGCAUCAACCGCCCAAGAGGUAGAGGGAACGGAGGAGGCCACCAAGGGCACAACAGUGCCCACCGCCGUGGCAAAUAAAAAAGACGCUACCUGGGAUAGGGGGGUGGUGUUCCUCCAGGCCAAUCUCCACCACGCCAUAGAGACCAGCCACAGCGGUCGUCGAAAAGCUCUUUGGCGAAAAUGUCCUGGACAUCGCUCUCAUACAAGAACCAUGGACAAACACCAAAUCCAUGGCAGCAGGACUUAACAGAAUAGGAAAGGUACUAAUCUACGGAAAAGGUGCAAAACCGAUAGCCAGCAUCGUUUUUAACAAAAAUACUAACUUCUUGCCUGUUACAGAGAUAUGCAGUGAAGACACAGUAGCUGCCUAUGUCGAUCUCAAAGGGCGAGGAGCACUCAAGAUAAUAGUCUGCUCCGCCUACCUGCCCAGAGAGAAGCAAGAUCCCACAGAAGAACUGCCUAAAGUGCUAGAGUACGCUUAAGCACAAAAGGCAGAACUUAUUGUGAGAUGUGACGCCCACCACACCAACUGGGGGAGCACUGGAAUCCACAAAAGGGGGACUACCCUACGGGCUAAUUCAACGUCCACGCCUGCCCAUCUUUCGCUGCCCGGCACUAACGCCAGGUUGCCACUACGCCAGGAACGCCAGGACAGUAACGCCCAGCUACGCACCGAUCCAAGUGCCACCACCACAGUAGGACAACGACCCACGUGAUUUAAGCCCAAUAAACCACUGCUGUACAAUUUGUA